AUGGUAAGGGCCCGUGUGAUGAUGCCUGCUGCCAAUCCUGAAAGUGUGUCAGGGAACUGCGGGCCAGCAGAGGCGGUUGAGGAGAGUCCAUCAAAAGAGGGCAAACCAGCAGGGUUCAGUAACAGAGAGAGAUUCAGAACUGCUUUCAGAAUGAAGGCCUACGCCCUGAGACAGAGCUCAGAGGAUACAGGUUGGUUUUGCCAGAUCCAACUCCUGAGGAGAAGGGCUUCCCACCAGACAUACUUCUGGAGGAGAUGAUUCCAACUCUCAAAUUUAGUCAUAAGAGCACUGCGGAUCAUAAUAUUCCUGUUGAGUAAGAAGCGUUUUAAGGAGACCCUGAGGCCGUAUGAUGUAAAGGACGUGAUUGAGCAGUAUUCUGCAGGACACCUGGACAUGCUCACCAGAAUCAAAUAUCUACAGACACGGUAACACACACACACACACACACUAUUAGAAACUAUUUAAGAAAUGAUAAGUAAAAACUUUUAAAAUUACUUUAUCAU
rnacentral:lncRNA from 1 species